ACCUCUAGGGAGGGGAGAAGGCUGAAGGUCAAGUUGAUCACCAGUGGACAGUGAUUUAACAAAUCAUGCCUACAUGAUAGCCUCCAUAAAAUCCCAAAAGGACAGAGUUCAGAGAGCUUCUGGUUGGCCGGAAAAGAGGCAUAAACUCGGAGAACCCAAGACCCCGGCCUGGCGUGCAGCCCCAGCAGCCGGACCAGCCUUGGGCAACAGCGUGCGACGUUCAGCUGUCUGUGUCUCCAGUGCUCCCAUUCCAUCGCACCUGAAUGAGGGAUUUGGGAGAGACACAGCCUCUCGUCGGAACGCUCCUGCACACCCUUCUCGCAACCCCCACCACCUGCCCCCCACUCCCGACCAGAGCAGCCGCCGUCCUGGUGUCUCCCAUCAGAGGGCUGAGCGUGCGUUCGAGCUUCUCCUGCAUCAUGACCAGGAUGCUCUGGGACACCUUGUCCACGUCUGUGUCCACCAGUCCUGCUCAGAAUCUCCCCAGGGGCUUUUCCACGAUGCCCAUCCAGGCGUCACCCUCACUCUAGGCCAGGAGGAGAAGGCAUGCCCUGAGGAUUCAGCCUCUUCUUCUUCAUCCCUCCCAGCACCCAGUGUGUUGGGUGCACACACAGGUGUCGGGCCCCAGGCUGGAGGCCACGUGCCAGGCUGGCAGGAUUUGUCCACUGUGAAGCUCGACGCCCCCGCAGGCCCUGUGCUGCCCGCCCGGAUCCCCCUGCCUCAGGAUGCCCUCCACACCCUCCGAAUUCCCAGCCGCUGCUCUGGGGCCUGCACAGAGGGCUUGGGCCCAGCACCUGGAAACUCCAAAGAGGCAAACGGGUUCAUGUCCAGGUUUUGUCAGAUCGCUUCCGAGGCUGCCCUCUUCGCCGUGGCUGCUGAGUGCAGAGCUGGGCAUCUGAGUGGACAGAGUGGUGCUCCGCUUCCUUGCAUCUCCUGGGCCAUGCGUGGUGACCUGUGCCCACUGCAUCGCUCCUGUGUGCCCUGUGCAUGUGACCGUGUCUUUCCCGUGUAUUCAGUGCUGCUUCAUGUCUUCCAGUUCCGCUUUGUGGUUUGUGAGUGACCAGUGCAUCCCGUUCCUGCUGCAGCAGCUGCAAUGUGCACUGUCCUGCAGGAAGCCCUCGGGGUAGGGCCUGGGGGCUGUGGGAAGCUCAGCAACAAGUGCUCCAUUAUGCCAGGAGGUCUCCUCAGGAUGAGCCCCAUGUGCAGCCUACAUUGUGCUACUCUCUCAGAUCCAGUGUGCAGCUCUCCUCCUGGGACUUCCCUCCACAACUUUUCUCAGUUGAAUCCACUAUGUGUUGGAUCCCAGGUCUUCCUCUUUAUUUUCUCCUUCAUUUUGCUGGAGCACAUCCUCAAGUAACUUUCUAAAAUAAGUUUAAACAGGUAAAUGUUUUGGAAGGUUGAAUGCCACAAAACAUCUUUAUUCUACCUUCAUACUUGACUCAUAAUAUUGCUGGAACCAAUUUCUAAGUUCAAAAUCAUUUUUCAGGAGCUAGGAAUUGAACUCAACCUAUCUAAUUCCAAAAUUAGGGUUAUUUUAUUUGACACGAUCUCUGGCUAGGAAGCAAGCACAACAGCUCCACCGUUAUUGGCAAGUUACUGAAAGCAACCCUUUGACAGCAGCCGCAGAUCCACAGCCAUACAGAAUUUUCCUUUUUAAACAAGUUGCUCACCAUUAGGAUGCUCUGAUUUCUCCAUUUGUAAAAUGAAGAUUCUCUGUCAACUUUUGGUUUUAGUUUUUGGUCUGGCAUAUUUGGUAAGCUACAAGUGAUCUUUGGCUGAAAAUCAGUCAUGUGUGGCGGGUCGUUUCACCAGGUGCCCUGCACCCAGAGAUCUAGGGCCCUCAAUCGUCCUUCAGUUGCUGUCAGUGCAAGGGCAAUCUCACCCAACCCUCCACAGGGAAAGGCAACUGCCACACGCCUCUGAGAGCAGGGAUGCAGCAAGCGCUGACUCUGGGCUUACAGGGGUCCCGCCCAUAACAGCGCACCACAGACCAGGGCUCACCCCACAAACAUUUUUCUCGCUCAGUCCUGGAGGCAGAAAGGCCAACAUCAGGGUGCCAGCAUGGCUGGCGUCUGGUGAGGCUCUCUUCCUGGUUUGCAGACUGUUGCCAUGGUAUUGUGAUAAUAACAAAAUAUAGAUUUGGUCUUCGUCCCAGAUUCCCAACACCAGAGCUUCUAAGAGACCUGGAACCUCUUGAGUGAUGAGCGUGUCUUUUGUGUGCUGACGAGAGGACAGAGCUGGUGACCCUUGGGCAGCUUCAGGAAGGGACUGCUCCCCAGAAAGACCAAGGCAGGACUUAUAGGUGAGGACUUUCAGAUCCACCCCAACCUCCAGGAAGCGGGAGGGGAGAGAGGACAGGAGCUGAAGAUGGAACUGAUUACCGAUGGCCAAGAAUUUAAUCCAUUAUUCUGUUAAUGAAAAACCAAACUCUGUAAAACAUUUUAAAGAGGUUUAUUGGGACCCCUAAUACGGUGACCACAGCUUGGAGAAAAAACAAACCCAAGAAGCCUAGAGUGAGUGUUCCUGAGGUGCCUGGAUUACAGUCUGGCUUCAUGCACUUUAGGGGACAGGCGUUACAGGUGGACGAGAUAUAUAUUGGCUCAGCUCGAACACGCGGGAUAUCUGGAAGCAAGCCUUAUCGGUUAUAGGUGGAUUCAGAGAGUCUUCAGUUUGCGGCUGGUUAAAGGAGCAAAGCUUUAUCUAAAACCUAGAGUCAGCGAUGAGGACAUCUGCACCCGAAACAUGGGGCAGGGGUGACUAACAGGGUGCAUGACUUGACUUAACCCUCGUCUGACAUGGUCUUGGGUCCUGUUUGUAACUGGGGCUCUUAUUGCCACGGUCAGUUCUGUCAGCCUUCUGAUCUCUGUUUUGACAUUAAUGCCUAAAUUCCAAAGGG
ensembl:lncRNA LINC00452 long intergenic non-protein coding RNA 452